UCAAGCUACUAAGGGCAUACGGCGGAUGCCUAGGCGCCAUCAGCCGAUGAAGGACGCGGUAAGCUGCGAAAAGCUACGGGGAACUGCAAGCAAGUAUUGAUCCGUAGAUGUCCGAAUGGGGAAACCCACCUGCCGUCAUGGGCAGGUAUCCGAAAGGAAGGGAACCCGGGGAACUGAAACAUCUAAGUACCCGGAGGAAGAGAAAUCAAACGAGAUGCCCACAGUAGCGGCGAGCGAAGAGGGCAGAGGGCAAACCGGGGAGCUACGGCUCUUCGGGGUUGAGGACUGCAUUUAGUCUUAAUGGUCUAUCCGAACUACCUGGAAAGGUAGGCAACACAGUGUAAAAGCCACGUAGGUUAAAGGCCAGAGAGAUGAGCAGUAUCCAGAGUACCACGAGGCACGAGGAAUCUUGUGGGAAGCCGGGGGGACCACCCUCCAACCCUAAACACUGAAUGGCGACCGAUAGCGCAUAGUACCGUGAGGGAAAGGUGAAAAGAACCCCGGGAGGGGAGUGAAAGAGAACCUGAAACCGUAUGUCUACAAGCAGUCGGAGCGAAAGCGACGGCGUGCCUAUUGAAGAAUGAACCAACGAGUUACGUGCACUAGCGAGGUUAAGUGGAAGACACGGAGCCGAAGCGAAAGCGAGUCUUAAGAGGGCGGAUAGUUAGUGUACGUAGACCCGAAACCGCAGUGAUCUACCCAUGUCCAGGUUGAAGCGCAGGUAAAAUUGCGUGGAGGACCGAACCUGUGAGCGUUGAAAAGCUUUAGGAUGAGAUGUGGGUAGAGGUGAAAUUCCAAUCGAACGCGGAGAUAGCUGGUUCUCCCCGAAAUAGCUUUAGGGCUAGCCUCAAGUAGUAAGUAUAGGCGGUAGAGCACUGAUCGGGCUAGGGGCCAUAAAGGUUACCGAACCCUGUCAAACUCCGAAUGGUUAUACUGUAGAGCUUGGGAGUCAGACUACGAGUGAUAAGAUCCGUGGUCAAAAGGGAAACAGCCCAGACCACCAGCUAAGGUCCCCAAUGUCGUACUAAGUGGAAAAGGAUGUGGGGUCUCUAAAACAACCAGGAUGUUGGCUUAGAAGCAGCCACCAUUUAAAGAGUGCGUAAUAGCUCACUGGUCGAGAGACCCUGCGCCGAAGAUUACCGGGGCUAAAGUACGAAACCGAAGCUGUGGCUACGACGUAAGUCGUGGGGUAGGGGAGCGUUCUGUGAGGGCUGAAGUCGUUCUGUAAGGAACGGUGGACUUCACAGAAGUGAGAAUGUUGGUAUGAGUAGCGAAAAGAAUGGUGAGAAUCCAUUCCACCGAAAGCAUAAGGAUUCCUGGGCAACGAUCGUCGUCCCAGGGUAAGUCGGGACCUAAUCCGAGGCAUGGAGCGUAGGAGAUGGACAACUGGCAGAUAUUCCAGUACCGGUAAUGAUUGUUUGAGCGAUGGAGUGACACAGGAGGGCAGGCAGGCAGGAGAUUGGUUGUUCCUGUACAAGCGUGUAGGAUGGGACGUAGGCAAAUCCGCGUCCUGUGAGUCUGAGGCGUGAUGUGGAGGUUCCGGAAACGGAACUGAAGCUGCUGACCCCACACUGUCGAGAAAAGCUUCUAGUUAGAGAAUUACCGCCCGUACCGUAAACCGACACAGGUAUGCGGGGAGAGAAUCCUAAGGUGCGCGGGAGAACCCUCGUUAAGGAACUCGGCAAAAUGUACCCGUAACUUCGGGAUAAGGGUAGCCGCUGUUGUGAAGUCUGCACAGACGGAGCAUGAGGCGGUCGCAGAGAAGAGGCCCAAGCGACUGUUUACCACAAACACAGGUGCCUGCUAAAGAGAAAUCUGACGUAUAGGUGCUGACACCUGCCCAGUGCCGGAAGGUUAAGGAAGGAUGUCCGGAGCAAUCCAAAGCAUUCGACCGAAGCCCCGGUGAACGGCGGCCGUAACUAUAACGGUCCUAAGGUAGCGAAAUUCCUUGUCGGGUAAG
rnacentral:rRNA from 1 species